UACGGAGGAUCCAAGCGUUAUCCGGAUUUAUUGGGUUUAAAGGGUGCGUAGGCGGCCUAUUAAGUCAGGGGUGAAAGACGGUAGCUUAACUAUCGCAGUGCCUUUGAUACUGAUGGGCUUGAAUACACUAGAGGUAGGCGGAAUGUGACAAGUAGCGGUGAAAUGCAUAGAUAUGUCACAGAACACCAAUUGCGAAGGCAGCUUACUAUGGUGCAAUUGACGCUGAGGCACGAAAGCGCGGGGAGCGAACGGG
rnacentral:rRNA from 1 species